rnacentral:rRNA from 1 species
GAUGAACGCUGGCGGCGUGCCUAAUACAUGCAAGUCGAGCGAACAGACGAGGAGCUUGCUCCUCUGACGUUAGCGGCGGACGGGUGAGUAACACGUGGAUAACCUACCUAUAAGACUGGGAUAACUUCGGGAAACCGGAGCUAAUACCGGAUAAUAUAUUGAACCGCAUGGUUCCAUAGUGAAAGACGGUUUUGCUGUCACUUAUAGAUGGAUCCGCGCCGCAUUAGCUAGUUGGUAAGGUAACGGCUUACCAAGGCAACGAUGCGUAGCCGACCUGAGAGGGUGAUCGGCCACACUGGAACUGAGACACGGUCCAGACUCCUACGGGAGGCAGCAGUAGGGAAUCUACCGCAAGGGGCGAAAGCCUGAAGGAGCAACGCCGCGUGAGUGAUGAAGGUCUUCGGAUCGUAAAACUCUGUUAUUAGGGAAGAACAAAUGUGUAAGUAACUAUGCACGUCUUGACGGUACCUAAUCAGAAAGCCACGGCUAACUACGU